UACGGAGGGGGCUAGCGUUGUUCGGAAUUACUGGGCGUAAAGCGCACGUAGGCGGCUUUGUAAGUUAGAGGUGAAAGCCCGGGGCUCAACUCCGGAACUGCCUUUAAGACUGCAUCGCUUGAAUUGUGGAGAGGUAAGUGGAAUUCCGAGUGUAGAGGUGAAAUUCGUAGAUAUUCGGAAGAACACCAGUGGCGAAGGCGACUUACUGGACACA
rnacentral:rRNA from 1 species